rnacentral:rRNA from 1 species
UACGGGGGGGUAAGCGUUGUUCGGAAUUACUGGGCGUAAAGGGCUCGUAGGCGGCCAACUAAGUCAGACGUGAAAUCCCUCAGCUUAACUGGGGAACUGCGUCUGAUACUGGAUGGCUUGGAUUCGGGAGAGGAAUGCGGAAUUCCAGGUGUAGCGGUGAAAUGCGUAGAUAUCUGGAGGAACACCGGUGGCGAAGGCGGCAUUCUGGACCGACAUUGACGCUGAGGAGCGAAAGCCAGGGGAGCAAACGGGAUUAAGAAACC